rnacentral:rRNA from 1 species
UAAUACGUAGGGGGCAAGCGUUGUCCGGAAUCACUGGGCGUAAAGCGUGCGUAGGCGGUUUUGUAAGUCUGAAGUGAAAGACCAGGGCUCAACCCUGGGGGUGCUUUGGAAACUGCAAGACUUGAGUGCUGGAGAGGCAAGGGGAAUUCCACGUGUAGCGGUGAAAUGCGUAGAUAUGUGGAGGAAUACCAGUGGCGAAGGCGCCUUGCUGGACAGUGACUGACGCUGAGGCACGAAAGCGUGGGGAGCAAACAGGAUUAGAUACCCUGGUAGUCCACGCCGUAAACGAUGAGUGCUAGGUGUUGGGGGGAUACACCUCAGUGCCGAAGGAAACCCAAUAAGCACUCCGCCUGGGGAGUACGGUCGCAAGACUGAA